rnacentral:lncRNA from 1 species
AUUUUCAUACAAUUGUAUCUCUCAUGAUAAUUUUGCCUCCUUACCUCAUUGUAGAAGGUGAACCAGCCAACUGCUCGGGUUGUCUCUGGACAGAGAAAACAAGAGGAGCCAACACCUUGGGGUCCAAAAGUUGUGAUGGCCCAGGCUGAUAAACCAACAGCCAAUGAGACCAGCUUCUUGGGGUGUUCAACCAAGAUGACACACAUUGAGGACCACGAGCCGUUUGAACCAGCACCUGAGGUCACUGCGAGCAGUCAGCAGCAGAGCCCGCCUGAGGACAAUGGCCAGCUUGAAGAUCCUCAUGUAACACUUGGCAAUCAGAAGGCACCCUGUGAUUUUGCACCUGCCGGAGCUGCUACAUCAAGUCAUGUGACUCAUGUGAAAAAGAACAUUCAUCAUAUUCUAAAACUAGGCAAUGGCUUAGUGUGUGUACACAUCUAUGCUAGAAAAUAAAGAAAUCAGUUCAGCCAAAACCAGUGGGCAUAUUUUCAUUUCCGAGUUACCCAGACACUGCAAAUUAAACAAUAAAUUAUUUAGUUUGGAAUAUUUUGAUACACUCGCUGGAAGUCUUGAUCAAAAGGAUGAUU